rnacentral:rRNA from 1 species
UCAGGAUGAACGCUAGCUACAGGCUAACACAUGCAAGUCGAGGGGGCAGCAUUGGGAUAGCUUGCUAUUCAGAUGGCGACCGGCGCACGGGUGAGUAACGCGUAUCCAACCUUCCUGCCAGUAGGGAACAGCCCGGCGAAAGUCGGAUUAAUGCCCUAUGUUCUUCAAUGCGGACAUCUAAGUUGAAGGAAAGAUUCAUCGCUGGCAGAUGGGGAUGCGUCCGAUUAGCUUGCCGGCGGGGUAACGGCCCACCGGGGCGACGAUCGGUAGGGGUUCUGAGAGGAAGGUCCCCCACACUGGUACUGAGACACGGACCAGACUCCUACGGGAGGCAGCAGUGAGGAAUAUUGGUCAAUGGGCGUAAGCCUGAACCAGCCAAGUAGCGUGCAGGAUGACGGCCCUACGGGUUGUAAACUGCUUUUAUGCGGGGAUAAAGUGCGGCACGUGUGCCGCUUUGCAGGUACCGCAUGAAUAAGGACCGGCUAAUUCCGUGCCAGCAGCUGC